rnacentral:rRNA from 1 species
AAAGAAAGUAAGCAAGGGCGCAUGGCGGAUGCCUUGGCUCUCGGAGGCGAUGAAGGACGUGAUAAGCUGCGAUAAGCUUCGGGCAGGUGCAAAUAACCUUUGAUCCGAAGAUUUCCGAAUGGGACAACCCGUCAUUCUGAAGGAAUGACAUCUUGCAUAGCAAGAGGCUAACGCAGGGAACUGAAACAUCUUAGUACCUGUAGGAAAAGAAAAUAAUAAUGAUUCCCCUAGUAGUGGCGAGCGAACGGGGAUUAGCCCAAACCAAUGUUGUUACGGCAAUAUUGGGGUUGUAGGACCACGCUCUCGCAAGAAGUUUAGUGAGAAGAACCCUUUGGAAAAUGGGACCAUAGACGGUGAUAGUCCGGUAUUCGAAGCUAAAUGAAGCGUAGUGGUAUCCUGAGUAGCGCGGGACACGAGGAAUCUUGCGUGAAUCUGCCGGGACCAUCCGGUAAGGCUAAAUACUCCCGAGAGACCGAUAGCGAACCAGUACUGUGAAGGAAAGGUGAAAAGCACUUCGAAUAGAAGAGUGAAAUAGUCCCUGAAACCGUGCGCCUACAAGCGGUCGGAGCUGCUUCAGCAGUGACGGCGUGCCUUUUGCAUAAUGAACCUACGAGUUACUUUUUCCGGCAAGGUUAAGGAUCUUGAGAUCCGCAGCCGAAGCGAAAGCGAGUCUUAAUAGGGCGAUUAGUCGGAAGGAGUAGACGCGAAACCAAGUGAUCUACCCUUGGUCAGGUUGAAGGUUAGGUAACACUAACUGGAGGACCGAACCGAUAAGCGUUGAAAAGCUUCCGGAUGAACUGAGGGUGGGGGUGAAAGGCUAAUCAAACUUGGAGAUAGCUCGUACUCCCCGAAAUGCAUUUAGGUGCAGCCUUGGGAAUUACUACUGUGAGGUAGAGCGACUGAUAAGAUGCGAGGGCUUCACCGCCUAUCAAGUCUUGAUAAACUCCGAAUGCGCAGUAGUUCGAUCCCAGGAGUGAGGGCAUGGGUGCUAAGGUCCAUGUCCUAAAGGAGAAGAAUCCAGACCAUCAGCUAAGGUCCCGAAAUAAUUGCUAAGUUGAACUAACGAAGUCAGAUUGCUAAGACAGCUAGGAUGUUGGCUUGGAAGCAGCCAUUCAUUUAAAGAGUGCGUAACAGCUCACUAGUCGAGGAGUUUGGCGUGGAUAAUAAUCGGGCAUUAAGCAAUUUACCGAAGCUAUGGGAUGUUAACUAAACACUAACAUCGGUAGGGGAGCAUUCCACUCUGCGUCGAAGGUGAAGCGUGAGCUUUGCUGGAGCGUGUGGAAAAGCAAAUGUAGGUAUAAGUAACGAUAAAGGGGGUGAGAAACCCCCUCGCCGAAAGACUAAGGUUUCCUGAUCAACGCUAAUCGGAUCAGGGUUAGUCGGGUCCUAAGGCUCAGCCGAACGGUGAGGCCGAUGGCAGAACAGGUUAAUAUUCCUGUACUACCUUAAGGAGUGACGUGGAGACGGAGGAGUGACAACGCCGCGGACUGACGGAAUAGUCCGUUGAAGGGUGUAGAUGUUGAUUAUCCCAGGCAAAUCCGGGAUAAGAGUCGAACCUGAUAGUAUACCAAAUUCUUCGGAAUAAGGUAAUAGUGCGUGUAAGCAUACUCUCAAGAAAAUCCGCUAAACUUAAUCUUUAAGGUACCCGUACCGCAAACGGACACACGUAGUCGGGUUGAAUAUACUAAGGCGCUUGAGUGAUUCACGGUUAAGGAACUAGGCAAAUUGACCCUGUAACUUCGGGAUAAAGGGUCCCAACGAGAGUUGGGCGCAGAGAAUAGGUCCAGGCAACUGUUUAACAAAAACACAGGGCUGUGCUAAAUUGAAAGAUUACGUAUACAGCCUGACACCUGCCCGGUGCUGGAAGGUUAAGAGGAGAUGUCAUCGCAAGAGAAGCAUUGAAUUGAAGCCCCAGUAAACGGCGGCCGUAACUAUAACGGUCCUAAGGUAGCGAAAUUCCUUGUCGGGUAAGUUCCGACCUGCACGAAUGGUGUAAUGAUCUGGACACUGUCUCAACCGUGAGCUCAGUGAAAUUGUAGUAUCGGUGAAGAUGCCGAUUACCCGCGAUGGGACGAAAAGACCCCGUGAACCUUUACUAUAGCUUAACAUUGAAUUUGGGUAAUUGAUGUGUAGGAUAGGCCGGAGACUUUGAAGCAGGUACGCCAGUAUUUGUGGAGUCGCUGUUGAAAUACGGCCCUUUGAUUAUUUGAGUUCUAACUCGUAGAUACGAGGACACUGUUUGGUGGGUAGUUUGACUGGGGUGGUCGCCUCCAAAAGUGUAACGGAGGCUUCUAAAGGUGCCCUCAGGACGAUUGGUAACCGUCCGUAGAGUGUAAUGGCAUAAGGGCGCUUGACUGGGAGACAGACAAGUCGAUCAGGUAGGAAACUAGAGCAUAGUGAUCCGGUGUUUCCGUAUGGAAGGGACAUCGCUCAAAGGAUAAAAGGUACUCCGGGGAUAACAGGCUGAUCCCUCCCAAGAGCUCAUAUCGACGGAGGGGUUUGGCACCUCGAUGUCGGCUCGUCACAUCCUGGGGCUGGAGAAGGUCCCAAGGGUUGGGCUGUUCGCCCAUUAAAGUGGCACGCGAGCUGGGUUCAGAACGUCGUGAGACAGUUCGGUCUCUAUCUAUCGUGGGCGUAUGAAAUUUGCGUGGCUCUGACACUAGUACGAGAGGACCGUGUUGGACUGACCGCUGGUUUACCAGUUGUGCCGCCAGGUGCAUUGCUGGGUAUCUAAGUCGGGAUUGGAUAAGUGCUGAAAGCAUCUAAGUACGAAGCCAGCCACAAGAUUAGAUUUCUUAGGGUCGUCAAAGACGAUGACGUUGAUAGGAUGCAGGUGUAAAGGUGGUAACAUCAAAGCCGAGCAUUACUAAUUGCCCGUUCACUUUCUUU